ACAAACCAAAGGUACAACUGAAGCAAAUAUUGGAGAGGAUAUUAAUUAGUUCUCAUCAUCUUCAAACUCGGCGUCGGGCUUGUCGGCAGCAUGGGAGCAGCAACUGUAGCAGUCAUUUGAAUAGCGGUAGGUGCGGCAGCAUCCGUGCCGGCAAUAUCCUCUUCGUGGUGGGUACCCUCCAAAUCCACCGCGACUCCAUAAUUUCCGUUUGGUUACCCAUAUCCGCAGCCCCCAUACUUUGCCUCCUCGAUGCCGUUGAGAUUCACAUUUUC
rnacentral:lncRNA from 1 species